AACGAACGCUGGCGGCAUGCCUAACACAUGCAAGUCGAACGAGACCCUCGGGUCUAGUGGCGCACGGGUGCGUAACGCGUGGGAACCUGCCCUUAGGUUCGGAAUAACUCCCCGAAAGGGGUGCUAAUACCGGAUAAUGUCUUCGGACCAAAGAUUUAUCGCCUUUGGAUGGGCCCGCGUUGGAUUAGCUAGUUGGUAGGGUAAAAGCCUACCAAGGCGACGAUCCAUAGCUGGUCUGAGAGGAUGAUCAGCCACACUGGGACUGAGACACGGCCCAGACUCCUACGGGAGGCAGCAGUGGGGAAUAUUGGACAAUGGGCGAAAGCCUGAUCCAGCAAUGCCGCAUGAGUGAUGAAGGCCUUAGGGUUGUAAAGCUCUUUUACCCGGGACGAUAAUGACAGUACCGGGAGAAUAAGCUCCGGCUAACUCCGUG
rnacentral:rRNA from 1 species